rnacentral:tRNA from 1 species
CCCUGCGUAGUUCAACGGUAGAAUGUCCGGCUGUAGACCGGGAGGUUGCAAGUUCAAAUCUUGCCGCAGGGA